UACGUAGGUGGCGAGCGUUGUCCGGAUUUACUGGGCGUAAAGGGAGCGUAGGCGGACUUUUAAGUGAGAUGUGAAAUACUCGGGCUCAACUUGAGUGCUGCAUUUCAAACUGGAAGUCUAGAGUGCAGGAGAGGAGAAUGGAAUUCCUAGUGUAGCGGUGAAAUGCGUAGAGAUUAGAGAGAACACCAGUGGCGAAGGCGAUUCUCUGGACUGUAACUGACGCUGAGGCUCGAAAGCGUGGGGAGCAAACAGG
rnacentral:rRNA from 1 species